rnacentral:lncRNA from 1 species
GGAUCUGAGCCGCGUCUGCAACCUACACCACAGCUCACGGCAAUGCCAGAUCCUUAACCCACUGAGCAAGGUCAGGGAUCAAACCCGCAACCUCACAAUUCCUAGUCAGAUUCGUUAACCACUGCGCCACGAUGGGAACUCCCAAUAUAUAUACAUUUAAAUUUAAGUUAUUGUUACCACCCUGGGAAGAUUAUGAAGUAAUAGUGGGGAGGCAAAGACUUUAAAAGGUAUGGAUAAUAAUAUAAAUGUAGCAUAUGGUUUAAAAGUGUUUUACUUUUCUCUUUUACUCUUCAUUACUCUUUUUCAACCAGAUUCCUCUAAGUAAGCAGUAUUUUUAAGCUAUAAAUCACAAAGCAGAUCUUGUAACUCCCUUAAUAUCUUCUGAAUUAACUUGAUAGCUGGCCUCUGGCUGACUGAUUGCAUUUUUAAAGGAAACUUGGGGGAGGGGAGGAGAAAUACAUCUCAAAGCCACUACUGCUAUUGCUUUUAUGUAUUUGCCUCUAAAAUAUAGAUUCCAUAAAAUCUGCCUAUGUGACUACUUAUAAAAAGAUGCAAAUAAGUUCAGAUUCUAGUUAAAGAAAAAAAUAAGCUAUAGAUUCCAUUUGGAUUAUCUUUGGUAUUAACUAAUAUUCUUGAUUUCCAUAAUUUGAAGUUCAUAAUUUAAAAAUUCUUCUAAGAGUUCCCACUGUGGGUUAGAAAUCCCCUGCUGGCUGCAGAGGUGCAGAGUCAAUACCCAGGCAAGUUCAGUGGGUUAAAGGAUCCAGUGUUGCCAUGAUUGCAGCAUAGGUUGCAGCUGUGGGUUGGACUCAGUCCCUUGCCCAGGAACUUCCAUAUGUUGUAAGGGAGGCCAUACUAAAUAAAUAAAUUAAUUUGGGUGAAAAUACUUAUGAUAAUUUUGGAGAAAAAUAAUAGUAGUGAGAGGGAACCAAUUAGUAAAACUUUUAUUAUUAAAAUUUUAUUAUUAAAACUAUUAUAGCUUGAUUAUUAUAAAGCUAUAAUAACUAAAAAAACUGAUAUUGAUGCAAGAAAUGAGACAGGUGGGACUUGAUCCAGUAAUAGAUACUGUAAGAUAUGACCCUAAUAUCAGAUAAUGUAAGCAUUACUAACGUAAGCUGGGUCAUUUUUAUUGUCUUGAAACUUUGCUGAGAUGCCAGUCUCAAGACCAUAGAGAUAUUUGAUCCACAUAUUGUAAACAGAAGAUCUAGACACACUCCCCAUGGCACUUACAAUGCAACAUGCUUCACCUAUCAUCCACUUUCAGGCCAUAAGGUAGGAAUUCAAAGGAAGGUUUUUUCCCCAGAGUGAGGUUUUCUUUGGAGAAAACCAUACACUUGGUAAAGAAUACUAUAUGCUUCUCCUCCAUUCCUCACACUGGGCAAAGUCUUGUUUUUUCAAGAUUUUCCAAGACAAGUGAGGAGGGCUUUAAGUGAACAACUUACCAGGUGUGAUUUGUCUGAUAGGAGGUAUUUCAUCACCUAGGCUGGAAGCCGCUGAACUGUAAAAAUAGAUCUUGCCUGGUAUGACUAUUAAAACAGAACGUGGUGAGAAAAUCAUUAGAGGAAUUUAUCUGGAUCCUCUGGAAUUCACGGAACAUAGAGAUUUCUAUCUGAUUCUCCCCUGGAAAAGUCUGAUUUUGACAGGCUGUCUUGAAUUGCUUUAGGUGGCAGGUCCAAAACUCAUCUCGAGAUUUGAGUGGACUGAGUUUUUCUGUGAUGCCAUGAAGACAACUUGGAAGGAAGUGGUUCUAGACUAGCGCCAUUUUGAAAGGUCUUCUCCAAAGAACUCCCUGCCUGGAUGAGUGGACUUCAGCAGGAAGAGGAUGUGUGGGGUGUACCAGGAAAGCAGGGUUUGAAGGGAAGUCUUAUGAGGUCCACAGGAAUGUACAUUAUCUUUAAACUGGGCAGAAGUCCAAGGAGACAGAGUAUAGUAUAUCUUCAAAUAACUCACUAAAUGACCCCUUAAGAGACAGUGUUAGCCUUUGGAUAACUGCCACUGAAGAGAGCUUUCAAUAUCCAGCCAAGUGAAAAGAUAUGCUUGCUUCUCUUCCCUCUGAUUCCCAGCUUCUUAUCCUUAACUUGGAAAAGCCAGAAAUAGCAGUGAGUAAAUGGAGAGAAAGUAGUGAAUAAAACCAAAACUGUCCAACUACACCUGGAAGCAAAGAGGAGAUGCUUUAAAUUGAAUGUAAGGUAAAAUUUUUAAAAGUUCAUUUGGAUGGGAAUUUUUAGUACUUAAAAAAUAAGGGCUAUGAGGGACUUCCCUGGUGUCUAAUGGUUAGGACUUGGUGCUUUCACUGCUGCAGCCUGGGUUCAGUCCCUACUCUGGGAACUAAGAUCACACAUUAAGCCACUGCACAGUGCAUAAAAUUAAAAAAAAAUUAAAGAUGAUUUACUGCUUAGAUAUUUUAAAAAUUUAGGAAAAUAAGGCUCGAAAUUGGCUGUAAAAGCAAUGGGAAUCCAUGGUGGUUUUUAAAUAUGUCUGUAAAUUCUUUGACACUCUUCCUAUCGAAAGAUAGAAUCCCUUCCCCUCUCCUUGUACCUGGUGAGCCUUUGUGACUGUUGCAAUGAAUGAAACAUGGCAGAAUUUGCCCUGGCUGACUUCCGAGGCUGCAUCAGAUAGGGAAUGCAGCCUCCCUGCUAGCUUCUCUUUGGCCCUGACUCUGGGAGCCUUCAGCUACCAUGGAAGAAGUUUGGCUAUUUUGAGGCCAUCAUGUGGAAAUACUACAUGCAGAGAUCAUAUUAAGAGAGAGACAUGGAGACAGAAAGAGAGAGGCUCAUCAACAGCAGGGCUGCGACUAGGCAGGGGUGAAUGAAGUGAGUGUGGUGCUCACCCUGGCAAAAAAUUUAAGGGAUGGGGUAGCAAAAAACCUAAUAAUCAAGGUAAAUCAUAUUUUUAUGCACUAUGAACAGAAAUAAAAGUCAAGGUAAAUGAUGAAUAAUACAUCAGCAUUUUAAAUAAAUAUAGGAUCAUUAUUCCAGAUUGUUCCUUUUUGUUCCGACUUCUGUAUGGCUUUGCAUGUCACCUUUACUCAUCUGAUUGAUUACAAAGAACCCAAGGCAACUUUCUGGGGUGAUGGGAAUAUUUUACAUCUUGAUUCAUUGGUGUCUAUGUCAUUGUCAUUGUCAAAAUGGAUUGAAAUGCACACUUGAGAUCCGUACAUUGUACUGUUUGUCAUCUACCACUAUGUGUAUAAGUGUUUUGAAGAGUGAAUAAAACAUGUGAU